AGGAUUGUGACCCAGCGACAGUGAAGGAACGGCGAAGUAUUUCCAAGUCAGGAUGUGCCAGCUGAGAAGUUCUGCUGCAGCGCCGAAGGAGUUAACUGCAUCUGUUCUGUUGCAGUAGGAGUGACAGCUCCCAGCAGCGCUGCCUGCCUCCUGUGAAUGGAAGACCACAAAUAUGGAAGCCCUAACCUUGGGGUCACGCACACAGAGCCACAACAGCUUGUUCGACAUUUCUGUUUACAGAUAUCUCAUCCCCUGCCCAGCAGCCCUCUAGCAGACCUUCCCCUGCCAUUGGCUACCAGCUAAUCCCUUUCGCAAAUCGGAGGGGGGGCAUCAGCUCUGCAGCAUCCAAUGAAAGAAGGGCCUGGCUCAGAGGGAUUAGAUUCUGCAAUCAGUGGGUGCGAACAAUUUCAAAUAGGUUUAACAAGAGAUUACCAGCGUGGAAUUCAACCUUGCUCAAUCGGUACACUUUCCUAUAAAUGAUGAUUGCUCCUCCCCUGUAUGGAAGUAAGUAAAAGGUUUGGAUUUGA